UUGGUGUGGUAAGGCUCCCAAGGCGACGAUCGGUAGCUGGUCUGAGAGGAUGGCCAGCCACACUGGAACUGAGACACGGUCCAGACUCCUACGGGAGGCAGCAGUGGGGAAUAUUGGACAAUGGGGGGAACCCUGAUCCAGCAAUGCCGCGUGUGUGAAGAAGGCCUGAGGGUUGUAAAGCACUUUCAGCGGGGAGGAGGGUUGAUAGGUUAAGAGCUAAUUAACUGGACGUUACCCGCAGAAGAAGCACCGGCUAACUCCGUGCCAGCAGCCGCGGUAAUACGGAGGGUGCGAGCGUUAAUCGGAAUUACUGGGCGUAAAGGGUGCGUAGGUGGUUUGACAAGUUAUCUGUAAAAUUCCUGGGCUCAACCUGGGAAGGUCAGAUAAAACUGGUAGACUCGAGUAUGGGAGAGGGGAGUGGAAUUUCCGGUGUAGCGGUGUAAUGCCUAUAUAUCGCAAGGAAAACCCCUUUCGAAAGUGGGGUACCUGGCCAGAUACUUGACCCUUAAGCCACAAAGCGUGGGAUGCCAAAAAGGGAUUACACACCUGGUAUUCUACACUUUAAAC
rnacentral:rRNA from 1 species